GAAACAACAAAAAAGUCAUGGUGGAGGAGUUGCUCGAGGACAGUGGGUCGAUGGCAUAGCUCCAGAGGCUGUUCAGAGGAUGUCCAUGCAGAGACACCCAGAAUGAGAGAUGUCCCACGAUCUGAGCAGAGAGCAGACAUGAUGUGAGCAAAAACAGAAUGCACACAACACAUUGCCUGAUAGUAGUCACUCUGAGUAGAUGCUGUUCACUUCUGUCUUUAUGUGUUAACAGAAACGGUACAUCCUCUGCUAAUGCUCUUUACUCCACUGUGGACCCCCCCAAAGAUAAACAGAGCCGACCUGGCACCAGUGAUCAAAACACAUGUGCAGACUCACUCUUCUACGCCUCUUUGCACUUUAACAAGAAUCCACC
ensembl:lncRNA